GAUGGAACGCUAGCUACAGGCUUAACACAUGCAAGUCGAGGGGCAGCAUGAAGGAAGCUUGCUUCCUUCGAUGGCGACCGGCGCACGGGUGAGUAACGCGUAUCCAACCUUCCCCUUAGUAGGGCAUAGCCCGGUGAAAGUCGGAUUAAUACUCUAUGUUGUAUUUCGAGGACAUCUGAAGAAUACCAAAGGUUUACCGGUAUGGGAUGGGGAUGCGUCUGAUUAGGUUGUUGGCGGGGUAACGGCCCACCAAGCCGACGAUCAGUAGGGGUUCUGAGAGGAAGGUCCCCCACAUUGGAACUGAGACACGGUCCAAACUCC
rnacentral:rRNA from 1 species